rnacentral:rRNA from 1 species
GGUUUGAUCAUGGCUCAGGAUGAACGCUGGCGGCGUGCUUAACACAUGCAAGUCGAACGAACCUUCGGGUUAGUGGCGGACGGGUGAGUAACGCGUGAGAAUCUGCCCUCAGGAGGGGGAUAACGGUUGGAAACGACCGCUAAUACCCCAUAUGCCUAUUGGUGAAAUGAAUUUCGCCUGAGGAUGAGCUCGCGUCUGAUUAGCUAGUUGGUGAGGUAAUGGCUCACCAAGGCUUCGAUCAGUAGCUGGUCUGAGAGGAUGAUCAGCCACACUGGGACUGAGACACGGCCCAGACUCCUACGGGAGGCAGCAGUGGGGAAUUUUCCGCAAUGGGCGAAAGCCUGACGGAGCAACGCCGCGUGAGGGACGAAGGCCUCUGGGCUGUAAACCUCUUUUCUCAAGGAAGAAGAUAUGACGGUACUUGAGGAAUAAGCCACGGCUAAUUCCGUGCCAGCAGCCGCGGUAAUACGGGAGUGGCAAGCGUUAUCCGGAAUUAUUGGGCGUAAAGCGUCCGCAGGCGGCUUUUCAAGUCUGCUGUUAAAGCGUGGAGCUUAACUCCAUCAUGGCAGUGGAAACUGAAAGGCUUGAGUAUGGUAGGGGCAGAGGGAAUUCCCGGUGUAGCGGUGAAAUGCGUAGAUAUCGGGAAGAACACCAGUGGCGAAGGCGCUCUGCUGGGCCAUUACUGACGCUCAUGGACGAAAGCCAGGGGAGCGAAAGGGAUUAGAUACCCCUGUAGUCCUGGCCGUAAACGAUGAACACUAGGUGUCGGGGGAAUCGACCCCUUCGGUGUCGUAGCUAACGCGUUAAGUGUUCCGCCUGGGGAGUACGCACGCAAGUGUGAAACUCAAAGGAAUUGACAGGGGCCCGCACAAGCGGUGGAGUAUGUGGUUUAAUUCGAUGCAACGCGAAGAACCUUACCAGGGUUUGACAUCCUGCGAACCUCUUAGAAAUUUGAGGGUGCCUUCGGGAAUGCAGUGACAGGUGGUGCAUGGCUGUCGUCAGCUCGUGUCGUGAGAUGUUGGGUUAAGUCCCGCAACGAGCGCAACCCACGUUUUUAGUUGCCAGCAUUUAGUUGGGCACUCUAGAAAGACCGCCGGUGAUAAACCGGAGGAAGGUGUGGAUGACGUCAAGUCAUCAUGCCCCUUACACCCUGGGCUACACACGUACUACAAUGCUACGGACAAAGGGCAGCAAACUCGCGAGAGCUAGCAAAUCCCAUAAACCGUGGCUCAGUUCAGAUCGUAGGCUGCAACUCGCCUACGUGAAGUAGGAAUCGCUAGUAAUCGCAGGUCAGCAUACUGCGGUGAAUACGUUCCCGGGCCUUGUACACACCGCCCGUCACACCAUGGAAGUUGGCCAUGCCCGAAGUCGUUACUCCAACCCUUGUGGAGGAGGACGCCGAAGGUGGGGCUAAUGACUGGGGUGAAGUCAUAACAAGGUAGCCGUA